rnacentral:tRNA from 1 species
GCGGAUGUGGCGGAAUUGGUAGACGCACUGGAUUUAGGUUCCAGCGCCGCAAGGCGUGGAGGUUCGAGUCCUCUCAUCCGCA